UACGGGGGGUGCGAGCGUUGUCCGGAAUCACUGGGCGUAAAGGGCGCGUAGGUGGUUUGAUAAGGGUGUGGUGAAAGUCCGGGGCUCAACCCCGGAUCUGCCAUGCCGACUGUCAAACUCGAGGGCUGUAGAGGCAGACGGAAUUCCGGGUGUAGCGGUGGAGUGCGUAGAGAUCCGGAGGAAGACCGGUGGCGAAGGCGGUCUGCUGGGCAGUUUCUGACACUGAGGCGCGACAGCGUGGGGAGCAAACAGG
rnacentral:rRNA from 1 species